GAUGACUCCUAAACAAAGAAAGAACAAUGGUAAUUUCCUUGUGAACCGGUACACCAGGACAGAACCUCUUUCUCAGUUAAACAAAGCAAACUAACUAAAGCUCAUGAACUGUUGUUGGCUCAACAGUGAGACAAAGGGUGACAAAACUUUUUGAGGGAGAAGUUAAUAGACAUCAGAGGAUGCUGAGGAGGGGUAGGGACUCACAUUUAAGAGCUCUCACAGCUGGGAGUCUCACAGCUGCUAGAAGGAAGAGUUGGGAAAUGUUGACACUGACAUUUUCAAGAGGGAGGAGUGCCUCACAGGAAAACGAUAAGAUUUCCCUGAGACUACAAGCUGUGGUUUGAAACCACGAAUGCAGAGUUCCCUGUAGAUUGUAGGAACCAAAAAAGAGGAUGUUGGUGAGUCACAAGAGGCCAGUGAAUUGCAUACCUGUAAGGGGGAUUUCUCUAGUGAAACACUGUUAGAGAUGACAACAAAUAUUGAGAGUCAAAAACAAUGCAGAGAGCACAAUGGAGAGAGUGGGUACCUGAAAGUCAUCCCAGGGCUGGUGGAACUGAUGACCAAGAGACCUUUUUCAGUAUUGCCAACUGCUAGCUGGAACUGACCUUCUCUCUUAAGUAGUUUCAAAGAAAAGUGGCCACAACUGGUCAGGUAAAGAAGCUUUCACAUUACCCUAGGUUUUGGACACAGUGCACAGCAUUCCAUUUUGAUGCUGUUUCUGCAUGAUGCUUUGCAUGUGGGAUGGCCAAAGAAUUAAGAAACUAGAACCAGUAGAAUCAACACAAGUGAAAAGGGAAAUUCAAGGUCUGAACCACUGAAAAAUGUUACAAAACCCUCACAAUAAUUAAUCACACAUUUCAAUAUUUGACAAAAUCCAUCAAAUCUUUAAAAUAAUUUGAACUUGAACUUGAACUUUAUUUUUACCUAGACACGGCAAAUCUAUCAGGUAAAAUAAUA
rnacentral:lncRNA from 1 species